GAAUAUUGGACAAUGGGGGAAACCCUGAUCCAGCCAUGUCGCGUGAGUGAUGAAGGCCCUAGGGUUGUAAAGCUCUUUUGUGCGGGAAGAUAAUGACGGUACCGCAAGAAUAAGCCCCGGCUAACUUCGUGCCAGCAGCCGCGGUAAUACGAAGGGGGCUAGCGUUGCUCGGAAUCACUGGGCGUAAAGGGUGCGUAGGCGGAUCUUUAAGUCAGAGGUGAAAGCCUGGAGCUCAACUCCAGAACUGCCUUUGAUACUGGGGAUCUUGAGUUCGGGAGAGGUGAGUGGAACUGCGAGUGUAGAGGUGAAAUUCGUAGAUAUUCGCAAGAACACCAGUGGCGAAGGCGGCUCACUGGCCCGAUACUGACGCUGAGGCACGAAAGCGUGGGGAGCAAACAGG
rnacentral:rRNA from 1 species